GGGGGUGUAUAGGUUUCGACUUGGGAAUGAAGUGUUAAUCGCAUGCGGAGGGCGUUGGCUGGCCUCCUAAAAAGCCGACAAAACAAUAAAUGCCGAACCUAAGGCUGAAUGCGAAAUUAUCAGUUUCUCUGAACUCUCUGAGCAAAGAUUAGCUGCUUAAUUAGCAAAAGUUGUUAUUUAGAUAACCUCUAGAUAACCCGGUCCUCAUGGACUCUACCAGAGGUUUGUGAAGUACCGUCAUCUAUCUGGUUGGAAUCUACCUCCUCUAAUUCUCAGGGGGGUUGAUUCGAGAUUAUUGAGAGUCGUUGGUUUCCAUAGAUGUUCUUAGCUGAGGAAAUGCAAUGUAGUACCACUAGGGACUAAGCAUGUAGAAGUUAGCAGGGAAUUCACUAAGGACGAGAGUUCGAGUCUCUCCACCUCCA
rnacentral:tmRNA from 2 species